AGCAGCCGCGGUAAUUCCAGCUCCAAUAACGUAUAUUAAAGUUGUUGCAGUUAAAAAGCUCGUAGUUGAAUUUCGGGAUCAAUUUGCUGGUCGUGCCUCUGGUACGUACUGGUAUUAUUGGUUUCUCCCUUCUGACGAACCAUGAUGUCAUUAAUUUGAUGUCGUGGAGAAUCAGGACUGUUACUUUGAAAAAAUUAGAGUGUUUAAAGCAGGCAUUAGCUUGAAUACAUUAGCAUGGAAUAAUGAAAUAGGACGUUUGAUCCUAUUUUGUUGGUUUCUAGGAUUGACGUAAUGAUUAAUAGGGAUAGUUGGGGGCAUUAGUAUUCAAUUGUCAGAGGUGAAAUUCUUGGAUUUAUUGAAGACUAACUACUGCGAAAGCAUUUGCCAAGGAUGUUUUCAUUAAUCAAGAACGAAAGUUAGGGGAUCGAAGACGAUCAGAUACCGUCGUAGUCUUAACCAUAAACUAUGCCGACUAGAGAUCGGAUGAUGUUAAUUUUUUUAAUGACUCAUUCGGCGCCUU
rnacentral:misc_RNA from 1 species